UCCUGGCUCAGGAUGAACGCUAGCGACAGGCUUAACACAUGCAAGUCGAGGGGCAGCGGGGGAGUAGCAAUACUCCCGCCGGCGACCGGCGCACGGGUGAGUAACACGUAUGAAACCUGCCCGUAGCAGGGGGAUAAGCGGAAGAAAUUCCGUCUAAUACCGCGUAACAACCCGAGGAGGCAUCUCCUCGGGUUUAAAGGAGGCGAUUCCGGCUACGGAUGGUCAUGCGUCGCAUUAGCUAGUUGGCGGGGUAACGGCCCACCAAGGCGACGAUGCGUAGGGGUUCUGAGAGGAAGGUCCCCCACACUGGUACUGAGACACGGACCAGACUCCUACGGGAGGCAGCAGUGAGGAAUAUUGGUCAAUGGCCGCAGGGCUGAACCAGCCAAGUCGCGUGAGGGAUGACGGUCCUAUGGAUUGUAAACCUCUUUUGUCAGGGAGCAAAGGACGCCACGUGUGGUGUUUUGCGAGUACCUGAAGAAAAAGCAUCGGCUAACUCCGUGC
rnacentral:rRNA from 1 species